rnacentral:snoRNA from 1 species
AACCUAUACUGAGGGCACUUUGUCAAUAGGUCCUUGUAUCUCUCCCAUGCAUCAUAGAGUGUCUCUAGAUCCAUUUGCACAAAAGAAGAGAUAUCAUUCCUCAACUU